GAGUUUGAUCUUGGCUCAGGACGAACGCUGGCGGCGUGCUUAACACAUGCAAGUCGAGCGGAAAGGCCCUUCGGGGUACUCGAGCGGCGAACGGGUGAGUAACACGUGAGCAACCUGCCCUAGGCUUUGGGAUAACCCUCGGAAGCGGGGGCUAAUACCGAAUAUUACUUGGUCUCGCAUGAGGUUGGGUGGAAAGUUUUUCGGCCUAGGAUGGGCUCGCGGCCUAUCAGCUUGUUGGUGGGGUAAUGGCCUACCAAGGCGACGACGGGUAGCCGGCCUGAGAGGGCGACCGGCCACACUGGGACUGAGACACGGCCCGGACUCCUACGGGAGGCAGCAGUGGGGAAUAUUGCACAAUGGGCGGAAGCCUGAUGCAGCGACGCCGCGUGAGGGAUGACGGCCUCGGUUGGUAACCUACUUUCUAGCAGGACGAAGACGAGAGUGACGGUACC
rnacentral:rRNA from 1 species